GUUCAAAGUAGACCACAAGAUGUCACUAUAGAUCAGGAUUUUAAUCUUGAAAACUUUUAUUUUGAAAGCAAGGCUUUAUUAUGUUGUGUCCCGGUUUUAAGAGGAAGUUGUGGGUGGGGUUUGUUCAGGUACUUUAUCCUCUGACCAGCUCGCGGUUCUCAUUCAGACCUUUGCCGUUAACAGACUCGUACCGGUAAUAGAAAUGGCAGCUUCAUAUCUGACCACCGUGGCUGACUUGAUAGCGGAGGUUGGCGCUAACUCUAGGGGAACAUCGCCGUACAAGAAAUGGAAAGGAAUUAAGGUCAAAGUCGUUGCGGCUAGGAAUUUUGCUAAAUGUACGGAGUUUAUUUUUACUGAGAAAGGAGUUUCUGUGGGCCGUGAAAAAACAUCGGUUUCGUUCAGCGCUGCAGAUAAUACCGGGAUAGUUAAAAUCUCAGCCGAUCAAGAGUGCUUCAGGGAGAUCGGCAUGUGCUUGACGGAGGGAAAUACGUACAUGAUUAAGAAUUUCGGUGUGCUAAAUGCCGUAAAGGAUGGGAGCCUCCAAAUUUAUUUGAGAGCAAGUUCCAAAGUGUACCGCUGUGCUCCAAUCGUCCUGUCCGAAGAAAGAGCCGCACAAGCAGAACAGGUUCUCAACCCCCGAUCCCCCGUGAAAGGUCGGCUGGACGAUGCUACAACCAGUGGCUUGUUCACUGUGCAGGGAAGGAUCUCUUCAGUAAGUAUUUCUGAAAUUAUUACUUUUAUAAUACUGUACUUUUGUAGAAGUCAUUACACGUUUUCAUGUUUCCUGUGUCAUUGGUUGAAGUAAGUAUGGUAUUUUUGUAGUUAUUAAUUAGUCCCACAUUUAUAAUAUUGUAGUUGUGUGUUUUUUGUGUUCCUGAAAGGCUGAUCUGGUGGGAAAUUGCUGUCCCAUUGACUGUUUCUUGUUAUUAAGAAAUUGGAAGUUUUAGUUUGUGUUGUGGUCAAGUAGAAUGUUGUGCUUUAUUAGAAAUUCUUAGUAAUUUAAAUUUGUAAACAUGAGAACAUGUGAAAUGGUUAUUUUGCUGUUUACAAGAGCAGUUACAUCUGCAGUGGAUUAUUGCUAUUAUAAUCUAAGAAAAAGUUGAAAAAUGUUGAAAUUUACUCUGAUUUUUUUCUUCUUUUUCACCAUUUGUCAUGUAACAUGUUCUAUGACAGAGGGCUUGGACUGCUGUUUUUAGAAUAUGGAAUGUGUGUGCUUUUACAAUGGUGCUGUGCAGUAUUAACAUCUUAUUUUGUUAAAAUGGCUUUUCUAUUCUAGCUGUCUGCAAUCCGCAAAAUUCAGGGUGCUGAUGGAGUGAUUCCAGUGAGAGAUCUGGAUGUCUGCGGGGAUGAUGGGGCCAUAAUUCCAGUGACCCUGUGGAGGGAGGCAGCUCUGCAGGACGUGACAGCAAAUUCUUCAGUGUCCAUCAGCCACCUCAGGAUAAGCAAGCAUACCACGUUCGGGACCAAAGCUGCAUCCACGAAAUAUACCAUCAUUGAGGAGGUGUCAGUCUCUUCAAGGAAGCUGUGCAUCACCAUAAAUGGUGUAGCGGUGUCCACGGAGGAGGUGCUGAUCAGCACGGUCCAGGGAGGUGAAUUUAAAACCUCUUGGGACAUUCUUCAGCAGAUGGCACCUGGUGUAGAGCAGGAGGACAUGUACGACUUGUUACCAUUAAAAGUUGAUGUGGAUGUAGAAGGUGAAAAUAUCAUCAAAGUGCAUCAUUAAGUUAAAGCUCAAAAGUGUUCAACGUUGUUGGAACACUAGUGCCUUAGGCUGUGUGAGGACAGCAUGGUUUUUAAGGAUUUAACUAAGUUUAUUUUCUUGGAGUUUGGACAAUGUCACUUUUUUAAGUUAGAUGUGGUAGUAGUAAUUUUAGAACUUUAUGUUUAUUUAUAUAUGUAUAUAUACAUGUAAAUCUACCAGAGUUUACAGUCAUAUUCAUAUAUAUUUAAAUAAUGUAGAAAUAACGCUGUUUGCACCUUCGGUUCACAUGUACCAUAACUAUUGAGCCAGUCUUUAUUUUUCUACUGUAUAGUAAUGAGAGACUAAAGUUUAUUUGUUACAUUUUGUUAAAGAUAAAAAUAUUUUAUUACUAUACAUUACUAUACAAUACUGUUUGUGAUUGAAAUUCAUGUUUAUUUGGAGAAGGAUCUGAUUUUUGUUUUGAUCUAAACCUCAACCUAAUGAGGAUUUUUUGUUUGAAAAUGCAGUUUUUAUCCACUGUUUUUCUUUUCAAUAAAGCUUUUUGUGAAUAAUUCUUCUGGUGUGAAUAUUGUAAUGUAGUGCAAGACAUUCCUGAGAAAUUAAUUUGAGUAAAAUCUACAUGUUUUUCAUCCUUCAUAAGUAAUUAAAUAUUUUACUAGAACAGUUUAUGAUUGGAACAAGUUCAAAACAUGCUAUUUUUAUUGUAGAGCAGUACAUAUAUUAUGCUAAUAAUCAAAGAUUUAAAUUGACAAAAUUGCAUAUAAUGACAACUGCAAAGGAUUGUACCACUUCAGGAUCUUGUUUUGAACAGAAUAUUCUGCCUCAAA